UAAAAUACUGCAGAUGGGGGAAGUCGGGAUUCUUAAUCCAUAACAUCGGAAAGAGGAUUGGCUCUGAAAGCUGAGCGGAACAGGCUAAGGAAAGAAACAAGCUAACUCAGUUUGCUGAUGGACGGGCUGGCUAACUGUUGAUACACCGCCUCCACCGCCGUCGUUGCGGUGGUGGGUGGGUGUGGAGCAUGCAGUUGAGCCCAUCCCUUGGCUGGAGGCGAGUAGGGUGAACCGUGGGCGGACCCAGAUAAAUGUGCACCUCGGUCGAUUGAUUGGUUAGUUAGUUGUCGAUGAUGCUGCUUGUUGGCUGUUAGUUGGCGAGUGUUGUGGUGCUCGGCACUGCUACUGGUUAGCCUCGUUGGGGGGUGCUUGUUUAGUGCCAAACACCCAACCCAGAACUAACAUGGACCUGAAAAAUCCGACUCUCCAAUUAAAACGUAGUUUUGUGAUGUCCGCUGGUUUGUUCUAGUGCAAUGUGAUUUCUGCCCAGUGCUCUGAAGUCAAAGUGAAGAUUUUCAACCAUACGCGGGUAAAUGGCGGGAGUAACUACGACUCUCUUAAGGUAGCCAAAUGCCUCGUCAUCUAACUAGUGACGCGCAUGAAUAAAAUUAAUGAGAUUUCUAUUGGCCCUGGCUACCAUCUAGCGAAAUCACAGCCAAGGGAGCAGGCUUGGCAGAAUCAGUGGGAAAAGAAGACCCUGUUCAGCUUGACUCUAGUCCGACUUUGUGAAGAGAUAUGGUGGGUGUAGCAAUAAGUGGUUCAACUGUGGCUUUCUAUGAGAUAGCUGUGCUUUUCAUCUUUGUGCUCAGCAUGCACAUCACCUUGUUAGCCCGCCAAAUCUAACAUUUACUCUUUUGCGCUUUUACAUUCCUGUCAUCAGGAGGUAGAUAGAAUGCUCGUAAAUGCUUAAAUAGAAAAAUGAUUUAAGACAAGGAAAAUUGGUUUGGGCAUUUCCAGUUCAUGUUGUACCUAGUCAUUGAUUUACUUCCUUUAAUGGAAGCUGCGAAGAGGUGGUUUGAGAGCACUAAAAACCUCUAAUUUUGUCUCAUCAACUGGGCAUAUAAGCAUUCGUUCAUUUCCAAAACUUCUGACAAGCCCGCUUGACGCCUCAUGUUAUUAAUGGGUUAGUGUUUGCAAUCAGUGGUAAAUGAAGUUGAUCCAUGAAGGUUAAAUAUGCUUUGCAAAUUGCAGUAUAGUCACCACAAUUGAACAAAUUUCACAUGCCAAAAAGAGGGGUCACCCAUAAAUCAUGCGAUUCAUUACAGUCUACAAGGUUAGUAGAACUACUAAUUUAUCGAAGCGUAUGUUUUAGAAAAGGUUGCAGACUAAUGUCCAUCCCAUUCAUUCUGCCAAUUUUAAAGCAUUUCUCUUUUCGUCUGC
rnacentral:ncRNA from 1 species